CUCUAAGCAUGGCCAGUAACUCAUAGCCUUAAAUAAAAGGCUGUUGUAAACAAGUCUACUUUCUGUGGGCGCCCUGUCUUCCGGCUGGCAGUUCUAAGCUCUCCGCUUCUGCCAGGGCGUUGGGCUCCUAUUUCUAGAAACCGGAUAAGAGGACUCUAGAAGGAAAACCUUUGAGACAAACUCUGGCAAGAGAUCUCAGUCUUCAGGAGGGAAGGGACUUGCGGCGUUGACAAGAUUAAAGGGAUCUUCAGAUCACCAAGUGCACCAGCUGCUGUCUGGAGGCUGAAUUUAGCAAAUGGCCAAGUGCUUGUUAUAUCAAUAUAGAACAUGCACGUAUGUAUUUGAUAAAAAUGACAAUCAUUUCAAGAUAAUACUGACUAUAUCAUACCCUUCAAUAGAGCUUGCCUACAUGCAUAUCUGUGUACCACAUGUGUAUGGGUGCCCACAAAAGCUAGAUGAGGGUGUGCAAUCCCCUCAAGCUGGAGUGACAGGUAGUUAUGAGGGCUCUCAUGUGGGCACUAGGAACUGGACCUGAGUUCUCUGCAAAAGCAGCCAGUGCUCUUAACCAUUGAGACAUUUCUCCAGCUACCAAUAUAUUUGUAUUUACAAGGAGCAUAAUAAUAGGAUAGGGGGGAUUUAUUUAUUUAUUUUUAAAUUUCAGAUGAAAUUUACUUAAAGACUUGUAGAUACUAAUGUGAGCCAUCUGAUGCUUCAGAACCACUCCGUCAACAGUAGAUGCUUAAUAAAUGUCCAUGAAUGCCAGAGUGACAACUGUACUGGAAGCACACCAUCACCAGGCUAUCCUGGAUAAUUAAGCUCAUAUCCAGGGUGAUGGCUCUGAAGGAAAUGGAAUCUCUUUGGGUUGCAAAGGGAGUAGCAAGGCCAUUCGAGGCAGACUGUUUCAAAACAACUGAUCCUUCUCAUAAAACCACGGAGCAGAAAUCCACGAGGAUUACACAUCCAGAAGAAAACACAAAUCAACUUUAUCCUUUUUCAUUAGUUACAACUUUUUAAGACCAGUUUUUACUGUUUUUUGAAACAAUAACAUAUACUUAUUACAAAGCCUCCAAAUGGCAGAGGAAAGAGAGAAACCCAAUUAGGCAUUUCACCACGCAGGCACAAACACGUCGAUCGUCUCUGUUACUGGUUACCAGGUUUUUUUGUUUUGUUUUGUUUUGGUUUUGGUUUUGGUUUUUUGGCUUUU